GACCCAGCUGGCUCGCCCUCCUCCUCCUCACUCUGCCCUUCGGGAGGCGUGGGGCUGCCCCGGGGCCGCUCAGUGCCAAGGGAUCCGCCGAAGGAGGCGUCGAGGACCAAGCCCCCAAGAGGGCCCUCCGCGGAGGGGAGAAAAAGGAGUGGCCGCUGCCGUCCCAAACUCUCCGACUUGGUGGCUUUUCCUGUGUGACUCGACGGAGCGGAGAUGCACCACGCCGUAGAGACCCGCUUUCGGACUCGGACACCUGUGGAUCCCAGAAACAGAGCCAGUCCUAGGAAAAAGUUCAGGGAAACUGGCCCCGGCGCUGUCUCUCUUCGGCAAACCUCAAAGCAAAGCCGAAAGGGCACCUGGCAGGAUAAGCAGGGCACCUUGACACCGACCCAGAAGGAAAGGCGGGGGAAGAAGCCGAAAGGGAACCCGCCAAACCAAACAGCCGUGUCUGCUGUUGGCCUCCUAGAGUUCCUAGACAAUAAAAAAGAGUUGAAAGAGACCGCAAGGAGCAUCCAGUCCCGUCCCCUGUGACGCAGGAAUACACAAUCAAACACCCCCGACAGAUUGCCAUCCAACUUCUCUUCAAAAACCUCCAAAAAAGGAAACUCCACUCCCCUUCAAGGCAGCAUAUUCCACUGCUGAACAGCUGUUACCAUCAGCUAAACAUACCCUAUGCUGCUCCUUAUAGGGCAUAGUUGCAAGACUUUUUUAACAGUUUGGCUGCCUUCCUCCGGACAUGUCUCAGUUUGUCUUGAAUUGUGCUGCCUAGAACUGGAUACAGUACUUCAAGUGAGGUCUGAGCAAAUCGGAAUAAACUAGUACAGUAGUAGUAUUUCCCUCAAUCUAGAUACUAUACUCUUAUUGAUACAGCUUAGAAUAGCAUUGUCUUUUUAUUCCAUUUAUUUAUUUAUUUAUUUAUUUAUUUAUUUAUUUAUUUAUAGUAUUUAUAUUCCGCCCUUCUCACCCUGAAGGGGACUCAGGGCAGAUCACAUUGUACACAUACAAGGCAAACAUUCAAUGCCAUAUGAACAUAGAGACAGAGGCAAUUUAUCCUUCUUCGGCUUCCAGCUUCCUGAGGGGAUGCUCGCUUCCGGCCACAGGGGGAGCAGCUGUUUCAUCAUCCACUGUGAAGCUGACUUCCUUAUUCCUCAUUCCUUUCUGCACACUGGUGGCAGUCUUAUGGUGUUGUAAAUUUAGUUAAAUUAGCCUCCCCACACAGUGGUACCUAAAUUUCCUACUUGAUAGAUGCAACUAUAUUUCGGGUUGCUUAGGUCAACAACGAGCUACAUCUUACUGCCAACUCAUGUUCAACUUGUAGUCUACUCUAAGACUCCUAUAUUCCUUGCAUGUGUACUGUUGUCAAGCCAGGUGUCACCCAUAUUAUAUUUGUGCAUUUCCUUUUUUUCUGCUUUAGUACCUCACAUUUCUCCCUGUUGAAUUUCAUUUUGUUCAUUUUGCCAUGGCAUUGUAAUCUGUCGGGAUAAUUUUUAAUGCUGAUCCUGUCCUUAUUUGCAUAUCACAUUUGCAGAAGAACCUGAAACAGUGCAGAUGUCUGUCUGGCUGCCUCAACUUCCUGAUAUAACUGUGGUGGAUGGUUUGAAUAGAAAAGGGCAUGCUAAAGAAGGGACUGGUGGAGAGACAUGGUGAAUCUAAACUUGAAUUGUACUAAUAAGGCAAGACAAGAAAAGAAUGCAUCUGGACAAUGAAUCAUAGAUGGAUAGGAUGGGAUGUUCUAAUUGUAAAGGGAAAAUAGUUUACCUUCUGUGCAGAGGAGGGAGCAUUCAUCACAGCUCCAAGUGGCUCUGGGUGUGUGCAUUGGGUGACUUUAUAUGAACAGUUGCACAGAUACAAAUGUACAGGGGUAUGAGGGAGAAACACCAUGCCUGUUGUUAUUAAGAUGUCUUUGCACAUCAUAACUGUGUAAAACAAUUUAUAGCUCUCUGGAGAGAGCUAUAAAUUGAAGGAUGUUAUUAAGACAAGAUGUGAUUUUUUUCCUUUGCAGGUGGAAGACAUGAGUAUAAAGUCAUGUUAAAUUAUCUCCUUGCUAAUCACUGCCUGGACUGAUUUGAAGACCGGUCGUAUGCCGCAUUCUCUCUCUCUCUCUCUCUCUCUCUCUCUCUCUCUCUCUCUCUCUCUCUCUCUCUCUCUGUCUUUCUCUCUCUUGCCUUCCCUCCCUGGUGUUCUUUUUACUCUUUAACUUUUCUAUAGCAGCCUAUCUAUACUGUAGAAUUAAUGCAAUUUGACACUACUUUGAACUGCCAAGACUCAAUUCUAGGAGUUAUAGCUUUACAAUAUCUUUUGUCUUCUUUGCCAAGUAGUGCUGGUGACGCAUCAAACUAAAACACUCAGGUUUCCAUAGUAUUCAGACAUGGCAAUUAAAAUAGUGUCACACUGCAUUAAUUCUAGAUGCACCCUUCGAUUCAAUGGAUUGAUUUACUUGAUGGAAAGAGAAGAAGGAGGGACACUAAAGAAAAACGAGGGAGUGCCAUUUCUAUAGCCAACAGGCAUAUCACCUCUAACUUCAUUUGACCAAGCAGUGUCGGAAAACCAGCUUCUUAUUCAAAGAGGGAAGCAAUGAUAGAACCAAAGAGGCAAAACGCAAGGGAAUGUCCCAAUGAUGGAGGGACUGUGGAAAACUCCCUGCUGAAACCAUACACAAUUAAAAUGGAAAUCAUGCCUUUAGGCUGCACAAUCAUGCCCCUGGUGGCACAGUGCAUUAAAGCACUGAGCUGCUGAACUUGUACCAGGUUCAAAUCCCGGGAGCAGAGUGAGCGCCCACUGUUGCUCCAGCUACUGCCAAUCUAGCAGUUCAAAAACAUGCAAAUGUGAGUAGAUCAAUAGGUAUCGCUCUGGCGGGAAGGUAAUGGUGCUCCAUGCAGUCAUGCCGGCCACAUGACCUUGGAGGUGUCUACGGACAAUCCCAGCUCUUUGGCUUAGAAAUGGAGAUGAGCACCAACCCCCAGAGUCAGACAUGACUGGACUUAACAUCAGGGGAAACCUUUACCUUUAAUCAUACUUUGGAGACAAAAGGCAGGGAUAGAAAAUUCUCACACAUUGUUCUAGGCUUUGAUUAUUGGGAAGGAAACACCAAGAAUCACUCCUUUGACAAAGCUAUCUGGACCCCAAAAGUGUUUGCAGAGGAUGUAAGAUUUUUCAGAAUAAGUCAAGGUACUGAAGAGGAAUACCCUGGUGAUUUGAAAAUGUGGUUGUAUAUUCUGAAGGAUGCUGAGCUAACAAUACAUUAUAGAGCUCAAAGCAGAAAAACCAUUCUAGUCAAUCUGACCAACCAUGCAUACUUCAGUCUUGCAGGUCAAAGAACCCAAAAUAUCUAUGACCAUACAUUCACCAUAUGUGCAAGGCCUGACCUGCCAGUGCAUGAAACUCACAUCCCCACAGGAGAUGUUGCCUCUGUGCAGGAUGCAGCACUUGAACUGAGAAAACCAGAGGAACUGGAAGACAUUUGCAGAAGUUCCAGUUCCCUGGGUUUGAGCACAACUUUUGUUUCAAAGAGAUAAACAAACCAUGCUUCUAUGCAAGAACUUACCAUGUCUGUAAGUGGCUGGUUGUGAUUUACAUAACCCAGUGGAAAUUUUGUAAAUAGCACAUUAAAAAGCAAAGGAGACCAAGUAUAUCCUAAGCAUUUUGAUUUCAUAGAUGAGUCCAAUACCUCCCAUCCAGAGACAACACUGUGGAUAUUCUGUCCAGAGAUGCUGGGGGCUGUUGCCUUACCCAUUUGGAAGUUACCUCUCAGGACUGAGGGAACAGUACAAGCUCCACGUCAGACAGUACAAAGAUGCACCAAGAACAGGUAGCACAAGCUAUUUAUGUUUUUCUUCCCUUACACUAAAAACCAUUGGGGGGAGAAGGUAGCUGCUGUAUUUUGAGAUUCAUAAUUUGAAGACUAUCUGCAUGAGUGCACCUAGUUACUCCUUGAAAUGAGAUGUGCCCCAAGCAAUCGGGUUUUCAAUUGCAGCUGGAAUGACAAGUCAAAAUAGCCUCUUUCCCCUGGCAGCUGCUGCCAUUGCUUCCUCCAUCUCCUCCUCCCCCUCCUUAUUUGUGUGUGUGUGUGUAUAUAUACACACAAACACACACACACACAUAUCUUUAAAAAGGAACACAAGAUGAGCAUGAAGAUAAAGGAAAUGGACUCAUCCACCUGCAGUCCCUGUUUGAAGCAAAAUUAUAUACCAAGCAUGAAAUCCAUAGCUGGAUUUUUCCUUUUCUUUUCCAAAAUGUAUCUAUGUGCUGGCGAAGGUUAGAAUUGGGGCCAUACUCAAAGGUAGAGGAGGACUACUUCCCCAGUAAAAAAUCAUACAUAGCGUAGUUAGUAGUAGCCACAAAAGAAAAAAGGUAAAAACAUUUGCAUGAUGCCUAUAGCAGUAUGCUUGCUGCAGUUGUUACUUGAAAUACAGGUGUAAUUGAUUUUUUUCCAUGUCAGGAGCAACUUGAGUCGCUUCUGGAGUGAGAGAAUUGGCCGUCUGCAAGGACAUUGCCCAGGGGACACCUGGAUGUUGUUUUUUUGUUUGUUUUUUUAAUGUUUUUACCAUCCUUGUGGGAGGCUUCUCUCAUGUCCCUGCAUGGAACUGGAGCUGAUAGAAGGAGCUCAUCCGCACUCUCCCCGGGUGGGAUUUGAACCUGGCAGCCUUCAGGUCAGCAACCCAACCUUCAAGUCAUUGGUAAAGCCUGCUGACAGUAAGGCUCCUUUUUGCAUUCUUUUUAUAGCCACCCAGCCUUCUCUUUCUCUCUCAUACUCUGUCUAGCUAGAAGAUUUUUAGCAGCAUCAGCAUUGGUGAAAGAAGGCUGGAGGAAAACAGACUUUUAUUGCCCUCCAACUCCAGGCAGUCUUGGAUGACAUACACUUCCUUGACCCAUUUCAAACUGACUUCUGAGCAGGAUAUAGAGUUGAUACUGUUAUGGUCACCUUAGCUGAUGAUCUCCAUAUUAACACUGACAGGGUAUGUGUGUCCAUGUUGAUGUUUCUAGAUCUCUCAGCAGCCUUUGACACCAUCGACCACAGUAAUCCUUCUGGAGCACCUGGGGAUUUGGGAACUGAAGGCACUGUGUUGCAGUGGUUCCAGUCGUACCUUUCAGGCAGGUUCCAGAUGGUGGUGCUUGGGGAUGGCUGCUCCUCAAAAAAGGAGCUGUUAUAUGGCAUCCCACAAAGGGCCAUUCUGUCACCAGUGGUUUUUAACAUUUACGUGAAACUGGUGGGAGAGAUCAUCCAGAGGCAUAGAGCAGGUGUCAUCAGCAUUCUGAUCACACCCAAAUAUAUUUCUCCAUGCCUUCAAAAACAGCCUCAGCUAAGAAUAGCAUGUAUUCUCUGAAUGAAUACCUGGAGGAGGAAAUGGGCUGGAUGAAGAAAAACAAAUUGAAACUGAAUCCAGACAAAACAGAGCUGUUUGCCAUUAUGGGUCCUAAUCUCGGGAUGGAGAUGUGUCAGCCAGUUCUGGAUGGGGUUAAACUCCCCUGAAAAUCUUUGUUCACAGCUUCGGAGUACUUCUGGACCUGUCUCUUCAAAUGUCAACUCAGGUAGAUGCGACAGUCAGGAGUGGUUAUUACCAACAUUGGCUGAUAUGCCAGCUGUGCCCCUUCCUAGAUUUAGAGGACCUGAAGAUAGUAGUGCACACACUGGUAACCUCAAGGUUGGGCUACCUCUGUACCAAGUUUAGAAACUCCAAUUAGUUCAAAACAUAGCAGCCAGAUUCAUUAAAAAAUCUAGGAUUGAGCUUAUUACAGACAUAUUAAAGUCACUCCACCAGUUGCCAAUUAGUUUCUGGGCAAAGUACAAAGUGUUGCUUAUGACCUUUAAAGCCCUACAUGGUUUGAGACCAGGUCACCUACAGGAUUGCCUUCUCCGCCAUGGACACUGAAGUUCUCUGGGGGUGUGGCUACUCUAACCAGCCAUAACCUGACUGGCGACCAUCACCGAGGUCGACAUAUGUAUUUCUUACACACACCAGCCAAACUCUACUAUGCACAAAUAAGAAUGAGUUAACAGAGAGACAAAUAAAAUGAUAUCCCUUUCUGAAUUUUCCAAACAGAAGACUUGGGAGGGGCAGUGGUUAGGAUGUACAACUUCUGAAUCCAUGGAACCAGUAUUUGCAGUUUCAUUUACUCAUGUGUGAUAAAAUAUGCCCUCCCUGGGCAUUUUCUAGGGCCUCCAAUAUGACUCCAUGGUAUUCUUUGGACAGAAGUCCUUCAUUUCAGCAGUGUUCACAAUUAUCAGCAUUUUCACAUAUCUGCAUGAAGUCUGGAAACAUAUCCUCCAUGUAUACUAGCGUCCUAUUGUAUUCCCUAAUUCAAAAGAUUGUUCUUAAUUCUGAAAUACUACACAGUAUAUGAUUAUGUCUGCUGUUUCAAAACAUCAAAGCUUGAGAAGAGCUAUAUAUUGUAACCCCUGACAGCCAUAGUUAUGGGAAGCUGGCUUCUGGAAUCAGCUGAGAACAGAAUAUGAAGGUGGAUAUAUUUCCCAUGCUAAUUAGGGUGAUUAACUGAAACAUUAAUGCUGGCUUCCCAGUGACAAAGGACUCUUGCCACACCCUGGACUUUACACAGAUAUAUAUUCUUUCCUUUCCUUACUUAGUUUAUCCAUACCUCACAACCUCUGAGGAUGCCUGCCAUAGAUGUGGGCGAAAAGUCAGGAGAGAAUACUUCUGGAACAUGGCCACACAGCCCGAAAGACAUACAACAACCCUAUUUUAUCAUGAUGUUCACUCAUCUGACCAGUCCUGUUUCUUCUUCUGUCUCCAGCUUCUUUCCCUAGUCCCCCCUCUCCCUCUUUAUUCACAUAUGCAUCUCCUCGCACUCUCGCAGCUUCCACUUUUGUCCCUGAAUUUCUACUUACACUGUGCUGCAAAGCAUUAAAAUGACCAUCUCUUUUUCCUUCCCAAAUAUGUCCCUCUUUUGACAUCAGUGCCACAAAAAGCCUUUUCCAUUUUCACGUUGUUUAUUUGUUUUUUUGCUCAGCUUCUCCCCACUCUCAAUGUUCUGUGUAAUUCUUCUGCCCUAACAGUGAUUAUUCUGUGUGCAUGCAAACACGAUAGGUGGAGAUGUUGUUAGAGUUACCAUAGGAAACAAAUGGCCCUAAGUGGUGACCUGUACUGACUUAUUUUCCCCAUUUAAACAUUAACAGGAACAUUCAAUUCAAUGUAAUGUUCCGAUCUGCAGCUAUCACAUUUCACAUCUUUUCUUUGCACUCAUCCCAAUAUGGCAAAUAUGUGUACAUACAAAUGCAAUAUCUAUGUGUUUUUGUAAACUUACAACUCUACCGGGAUAUUAACUUCCUGUAGAUUGAUUUUCACAGCUUUCUGGAUAUAUCAGGUGGAAGAUAAUUAAUGAGAGUGAGCUCAGAACUGUCCAUCACAUGAGCCACAAAACCAGAUAAUCAAUAUCCAAUCAGUGAUGAUUACUAGACAAGAGCACUGGGUUCAUCCAUUCAACUAUGGAGUUCAUUGGAAGCGUUGGGCAAGUUAAAGUAUUUUCUACUUCAUGGGGACAAUGCCGUGGCAAACAGAAUAACCUCAUGGGAGGUAGAAAGAGGGUGGAGCCAUUUCAGCUUUGGGAAACUUUGGCUGAACAAAUUGAAGAGGAAGAGAAGAAAGCAAUUGAAAAACAAUAGGAGCAAUUGAAAAACAAUAGGUUUUUGUUUCCAAUGCAGGAAUUUAGCUAUCAUCACAGAUGACACACUGGACUAGGAACUUGCCUAAUCAUUAAGAGCACAGCAGUUCAGAAAAGGGGAAACAAGUGGCUUGCUAUGUGUAAAUCACCUCUCUAGGCAUCUCUAGAUCCUCCAGUGUGACUCUAUAGUCAACUUAGAAUCUUAUAGUCUUAAAAUUAUAGAAUCAUGAAAUUGGAAGAGACCACAAGGGUCAUCCGGUCCAACCCCCUGACAUGCAGGAACACACAAAGCACUCCAAUGGAAGUGGGCCAUAGAUUUGCACUGGAGAACCUAGAUACUCCUAGAGAUAACACAUUAAUCAAAUCCCCAACAUUUAAAUCCCCAAAUGUGGAAAGCCAACUAUAUAUUGCAACCUUAUUUCAUCUAAGACACUGACACAACAAUUGUAAUCAAGGAACAGCAGGAUGUGGCAAUGUGACAAUUUAAUUCUUAAAAUGAAAGAGAGAAGAGAUUGAUUUUUAUUAGAUUUCAAUUAGAUGAAAGACUAUUGAUUCAGCUAUGUGUUCAACUGGAACUUUUCAUCCCUAUUCCCGUUGUUCCUUUAAAUGAAUCCACAAACUCAAUUGCCAUGUAAUAAACACACAAGAUGUCAGGAGAGGAAAGGUAGGAGAAAGACCCAAUUCCACAAGGAAAUGUUAUUUUUUAGCCAUGCUGUAGGCAGUAUUUCAGAGGAAAGGACUGACUGACAAAACCACCUCUGAGUACUCCUUGCCUAAGAAAACUCACUGGAUUUCAUAGAAUUACCAUAAGCCAACAAGUGACUUAAAGUCACUUAUACACAAGAACAUACCAAUAAAGAUCAACUGUGCAAAGAAUCUCUCAUUCCCUCCUUCAGUGGACUUUCUGUUGUAAAAAAAAAUAGGCAAAAGAAAUGGUAGGACAUAAAAUGACAUCUGUGGACCAACCACAAAAUUUCACAAAUGGGGCAGGGUGGUUACACAGUAAAAGCCUCAUCUGGAAUCACUCUUUUCAUGCCAGACCAAAAGGACAAAAUUGCAUGUACUUAAUUUCUUGGUGACUUCUUAAUUAUUAUACAACACGCAAAAAGGAAACAAAUCAGAACGUGGAAGGAAAUAAAGUCCUAAUUUAAGUCUGUCCAGAAUGCUUAAAUAGGAAAUCCCCAUCCCCACAUUUUAUUUGUUGAGGGUAUCAAAGAGCCCCCGGUGGCACAGUGGGUUAAACCCUUGUGCC